UACGUAGGGUGCGAGCGUUAAUCGGAAUUACUGGGCGUAAAGCGUGCGCAGGCGGUUUGUUAAGUCCGCUGUGAAAUCCCCGGGCUCAACCUGGGAAUGGCGGUGGAAACUGUCAGGCUCGAGUCCGGAAGAGGCGAGUGGAAUUCCUGGUGUAGCGGUGAAAUGCGCAGAUAUCAGGAGGAACACCAAUGGCGAAGGCAGCUCGCUGGGACGGUACUGACGCUGAGACGCGAAAGCGUGGGGAGCAAACAGG
rnacentral:rRNA from 1 species